UGUUUCUUCGACUAAAACUGCCUGUUUGGUUUGUUGCAGGAAGAUAUCGGCCUGGAGGUGUACCUGUCCUGGACAUCAGCCGUGCAGCUUGUGGAAUCAUCAGAUUUAAGUUGAGUUGGCGUCACAGUGAUAACCGUUGGUCCAGCUAUUUUUUGCCCCCCCCCCCCUGUAAAUUCACCCAUCACCCACAUUGUGGAAGGGUCUAGCGGAGCCGUUCCGCUCAACGCUGUGGAGUCAGCGGACCCCUUGCAUGGGGACUGUACGUGCAACGCGUGACCUCACGGCGUUAAUGAGGCGGGUUGGACGUGACCCUAAGCCGUCCAAAGAAAACCUUCCCUCCCCCUGCCCUCCUCUCGGCUGCGGCUGCUGUGGAGGUAGUAGCGGGCUGCCGCCGCUGCUGCGGGGGCUGUGGGGGUAGUAGUAGUGGUAAACCUACUGCUGCCUCCACGCCAGCUGCAUCAGAGACGUCUGUGACGUCACUGCGGUAGUGGUGGCUGUCUGCUACUACAUCCACAGUUACCACAGCUUCUAGCUAACUAGGUGGCCAGCAUCCAGUCCAGGCAUAUCCCUUUGGACAAGAACCAGCAUCACUUCCUACUUUACUAAGACUGUACCAUACAAAUGAAAUAAAUAGUAGCAUUACUGUAA